rnacentral:lncRNA from 1 species
GUAACAUUGUUUCUAUAGUAACUAAUGCACUGGCAAAAAUCAAAGCUGAAAAGAUUGAAAUCGUACAAAAAGCCGACCAAAGCCAAUGCUUAAAUGACGAGCAGGUGGAAGUCUUUGUCUGGGGAUAGUACAAUUUAGAAUUGGCUAGAACAAACUGAAAUCAUUGCUCUGUGACGAAAUACGAUGGAGGCACGGUCGGGACACUGCACGCGUAUGUUUAAGCAGCAAAUUGCCAAUCACGGAGCAAUUUUUGACGAAUCUGCCAAAAAGGAUGAUGAGGUGUUUCGCACGGCAGUUGGAGACCUCAACCAGAAUGAGGAAAUCUUACAGACUGAGAAGAUCACAUUUUCGGUGACAUUUGUGGAUGGCAACAACCCUUUUCAAGCGGUGCAAGAAGGUGUUCUCCUGACAAAUGUUUUGCCGCGAGGAAAAUCCUGAGACACUAUAUACAAAUCAAACAUUUUGUCCUUGGAGCCUAAUAUACUGACUGACCUAAGCUACACAUUUUUUGCGUUCUACAAAUUUCCAAAUAUUAAAGUGUUUGCCUGCAUUCUCUCUUACUCUAUAGUGAAUUAAAAGUUGUUAUUGUUGCAAAGAAAUGCAAAUGGAAAUGAUCUUAUACCGGAAUGAUCAUUCUCAUGAAUGAAGACUUUGAAAAAAAUUCUUGUAUUACUGGAAUUCUAUGUUAAUAAUCUAAUAAAAUUAUCUACCCCUUUAUGUGGAAAGUAUUCAUUCACAGAACUGCGUUUUGCUAAGUGCUGUGGUCUAAAUGUUAAUAUUCAUCCCAAAUUUUAUGCUGAAAUCUCACACCCCUUGUGCUGAUAUUCUAAAGAGGACCUUCAGAAGCUGGUCACUGCCUUCAUGAGUGUGAUUAUUGCCUUUAUAAAAGAGGCCAGAGGGAGUGUCCCCUGAGAUUAAAGGACACAGCAAGUAGGCCCUGCCCAUGCAGCAGAGAAAAGACCCUCACCAGACAACGCAUCUGCCGGUCUUGUCAUCUUGGACUUUCCAACCUCUAGAAAUAUGAGCGAUACAUUUCUGUCAUUUAUAGAUUACUCUAUAUAUAUAUAGCGUUUUGUUAUAGCAGCACAAAUAGCUUUUGUAUGUUUUGGUGAUAAUAUAUUUAGAUUAUGGAUACCUAAUUUAAAAUUAAUAUCAAAUUAAGCAUUGCUUCAUUAACAUUUUAAAUGUUUUGGCAAGAGAAAGGGCGGAUAGCACAUUAGGUACAGUAAACUUGAGCAGGAAUUUUUUAAAAGAAUAACACUGAAGGGGUAAGAAAGGUAAACAUAAGUGUUUGAAAAAUGUAUCCUUUUUGUCUACAGUUAUAUCUGUCUGGUAUAACAGAUAUCUAUUGUAAUAUGUUUGUGAUUGUGAGCAUUGGCUACAGCUAACAUUUAUUUAGGUUUACUUCUGUCAAUUAAUUAGAGAAUGGAUGUAAUGAAUGGUGGUAAGACAGAAUUUUCUUUGCAUUAAUCCAAUGAAGUGAAAUAUCCUAUUUAUAAAAUUAAUACAAUUGCUUUCUGAGAAAGUCAUUU